UGUACCGGUAUGGUGGACCAUGGAUUUUAUACUUUAAACAUAUCACAUGCAGAAAGAGUACCUAAGUUCUCUGGCCAUUGUUCCAUCUCAGGUAUUCUAAAUUCAACAUUGCUAUCUCUCAUAGCAGUUCUUUAUUCUACAUGGGCAGAUCAUUUGGUUAAAUCAAAGCAUCUAAAUUUUCUCUUCUUAAAGAUAAUCUCAAGUGACAACCUAAGCAGCACAUCAUGCCUCUAGUUAAUUAAUAUCAAGAGAACAUGUAUUUGAUACUCUAAGCAAGCUGAUAAACAGCAAUAGACGAGAUAGGAGUACGAGGAAAUCAAAGCUGGUCAGAUGGA
rnacentral:lncRNA from 1 species